AGAGUUUGAUCCUGGCUCAGGACGAACGCUGGCGGCGUGCCUAAUACAUGCAAGUCGAGCGAGCUUGCCUAGAUGAUUUUAGUGCUUGCACUAAAUGAAACUAGAUACAAGCGAGCGGCGGACGGGUGAGUAACACGUGGGUAACCUGCCCAAGAGACUGGGAUAACACCUGGAAACAGAUGCUAAUACCGGAUAACAACACUAGACGCAUGUCUAGAGUUUGAAAGAUGGUUCUGCUAUCACUCUUGGAUGGACCUGCGGUGCAUUAGCUAGUUGGUAAGGUAACGGCUUACCAAGGCAAUGAUGCAUAGCCGAGUUGAGAGACUGAUCGGCCACAUUGGGACUGAGACACGGCCCAAACUCCUACGGGAGGCAGCAGUAGGGAAUCUUCCACAAUGGACGAAAGUCUGAUGGAGCAACGCCGCGUGAGUGAAGAAGGGUUUCGGCUCGUAAAGCUCUGUUGGUAGUGAAGAAAGAUAGAGGUAGUAACUGGCCUUUAUUUGACGGUAAUUACUUAGAAAGUCACGGCUAACUACGUGCCAGCAGCCGCGGUAAUACGUGGGUGGCAAGCGUUGUCCGGAUUUAUUGGGCGUAAAGCGAGUGCAGGCGGUUCAAUAAGUCUGAUGUGAAAGCCUUCGGCUCAACCGGAGAAUUGCAUCAGAAACUGUUGAACUUGAGUGCAGAAGAGGAGAGUGGAACUCCAUGUGUAGCGGUGGAAUGCGUAGAUAUAUGGAAGAACACCAGUGGCGAAGGCGGCUCUCUGGUCUGCAACUGACGCUGAGGCUCGAAAGCAUGGGUAGCGAACAGGAUUAGAUACCCUGGUAGUCCAUGCCGUAAACGAUGAGU
rnacentral:rRNA from 1 species